rnacentral:lncRNA from 1 species
AGGAGAUUUUUAGUUUUUUUUUAGCUUUUUCUUUUCUUUUCUGAUUAGGGUAAUAGGAUUAAUGUUGGGUUAAGUGGGGAGAUGUGAAACGACGCCGUAUUGCCUGAUUCAGUGGCUCUUAAAAGGCGCCGUUUUAGGUCGCGACCGGAUGAUCCGACCCAGAUGCGGUAAGAUCCGCGUGUUCUGGAGUAGGGAGGGGUAAUUCCGCGCCGAGUCCUUCUUAUUUUGCGCGGUAUUUCAAUUCGAUACCCUUUUUAUUUUUA